rnacentral:rRNA from 1 species
GGGGGAUAUUGCGCAAUGGGGGCAACCCUGACGCAGCAACGCCGCGUGAAGGAUGAAGGUUUUCGGAUUGUAAACUUCUUUUAUUAAGGACGAAAAAUGACGGUACUUAAUGAAUAAGCUCCGGCUAACUACGUGCCAGCAGCCGCGGUAAUACGUAGGGAGCAAGCGUUGUCCGGAUUUACUGGGUGUAAAGGGUGCGUAGGCGGCUUUGCAAGUCAGAUGUGAAAUCUAUGGGCUCAACCCAUAAACUGCAUUUGAAACUGUAGAGCUUGAGUGAAGUAGAGGCAGGCGGAAUUCCCCGUGUAGCGGUGAAAUGCGUAGAGAUGGGGAGGAACACCAGUGGCGAAGGCGGCCUGCUGGGCUUUAACUGACGCUGAGGCACGAAAGCGUGGGUAGCAAACAGGAUUAGAUACCCUGGUAGUCCACGCUGUAAACGAUGAUUACUAGGUGUGGGGGGUCUGACCCCUUCCGUGCCGGAGUUAACACAAUAAGUAAUCCACCUGGGGAGUACGGCCGCAAGGUUGAAACUCAAAGGAAUUGACGGGGGCCCGCACAAGCAGUGGAGUAUGUGGUUUAAUUCGAAGCAACGCGAAGAACCUUACCAGGUCUUGACAUCCAACUAACGAAGUAGAGAUACAUUAGGUGCCCUUCGGGGAAAGUUGAGACAGGUGGUGCAUGGUUGUCGUCAGCUCGUGUCGUGAGAUGUUGGGUUAAGUCCCGCAACGAGCGCAACCCUUGCUAUUAGUUGCUACGCAAGAGCACUCUAAUAGGACUGCCGUUGACAAAACGGAGGAAGGUGGGGACGACGUCAAAUCAUCAUGCCCCUUAUGACCUGGGCUACACACGUACUACAAUGGAUGUUAACAGAGGGAAGCAAGACAGCGAUGUGGAGCAAACCCCUAAAAACAUUCUCAGUUCAGAUUGCAGGCUGCAACCCGCCUGCAUGAAGUCGGAAUUGCUAGUAAUCGCGGAUCAGCAUGCCGCGGUGAAUACGUUCCCG